rnacentral:lncRNA from 1 species
GCGAAAAAAGCCCAGGUUUUACCCGGGGGGGUGUUUUCGUCACCUCCUCCCCCAGCUUUAGAUCUUCCCUCAGUGGCCUUCAAGAGGAGGAGCUUGUGGAAGGCGCCCAGGUGGUGGGUGGCCACCGUCAGGGGGUGGGUGGCCACCGUCAGGGGGUUGGUGGCAGCGUUGACUUGGUGGGUGGCCACGUUGACUUGGUGGGUGGCCACGUUGACUUGGUGGGUGGCCACGUUGACUUGGUGGGUGGCCACGUUGACUUGGUGGGUGGCCACGUUGACUUGGUGGGUGGCCACGUUGACUUGGUGGGUGGCCACGUUGACCUGGUGGGUGGCCACGUUGACCUGGUGGGUGGUCGAGUUGAAGUGUUGGGUGGCUGCGUUGAGUUGGUUGGUGGCCACGUUGACUUGGUUGGUUGAGUUGAGGUGUUGGGUGGGCGUGUUGACUUGGUUAGUGGCCACGUUGACUUGGUUGGUGGCCACGUUGACUUGGUUGGUUGAGUUGAGGUGUUGGGUGGGCGUGUUGACUUGGUGGGUGGCCACGUUGACUUGGUUGGUGGCCACAUUGACUUGGUUGGUUGAGCUGAGAUGUUGGGUGGCCGCGUUGACUUGUUGGGUGGCCGUGUUGACUUGGCUGGUGGCACCAAGAGGUUGAGUGGCCCCGGCGAGCUGUUGGGUUGCCCCGGCCACGUUCUGGGUGGUCCCGCUGACGUUUUGGGUGGUCCCGGUGACGUUUUGAGUGGUCCCGGUGACGUUUUGCGUGGUUCCACCAAGAUUUUGAGUGGUUCCACCGAGAUUUUGGGCGUUUCCGGCCAGAUUUUGAGUAGCCCCGGCUGGGUUUUGAGUAGCCGCGUUGAGUCUGGUGGCCCCGCUCAACCCUUGGGUGGUCACCGGGGGCGGGAGGAGAAGAUAAUCCAGGUGUUGAGGGACAGGGUGGGGGUUCAUCUGAACGUGGGGGUAUUUUUCUCGGUGGCGGUGAAAAUGAACUUUCAGGUUGCCCCGGGUGGUGAAUCGGUUGCCGCAGACGUUGCACUUGUAGGGUCUCUCCCCGGUGUGGGAGCGGAGGUGGAUUUGCCGAGCGCUUUCGCUCCCGAAGGAUUUGCCGCAGAAGCCACAUUCGUGCCGGGGGGUCCCCAAAUCCGUCGUCGUUGUCGUCGUCCCCCCCCCUCCGAAAUUUUUCGGCCGCAAAAGAUUGGCCGAAGAACCUCCGGUGGCCACCGGUGGGAAAAAGGUAGCCACGGCGUGAGGAGGGUGUGUUUUGAGGCUUCGAUGUUGGGGGGGGGAAGGGAAAUGAGGGAAAAGGUGGAAGAAAUGGGGUUUGGGGGGGUUGGUUUUU